GCUACAUGGAUCCAGUGAAAUGACUUUAGAACCAGUGUGAUGUGCUCUAUCAUCCUGGCUUUAGUGAGAAUCCAAGCAGCAGCAUUGUGGAUCAGCUACAGUUGUUUAAUCAAUUUUUUUAGGCAGACCUGUGAAGACACUGUUGCAGUAAUCAACCAGACCUUGCUGGGACAUUAGUCCUUUAAUCCUGGAAAUGUUCUACAGGUGAUAGAAGGUCGAUUUUGUAACUGUCUUUACAUGAUUCUGAAGGUUCAGGCCUGCAUCCAUCACUAUUUGACUUCUCACAGUGAAUGAUCAUCAGGAAAAACCAGGCUGAUGCAUGAGACUGUGAUCAAUUUAAUUAUAUUAAUGAUGUCUUCAUUUGCCCCUACAGAUCUCCAAAACCCACAUGUCUCCUUUGAGGAGAAAACUUCUGCCAUUCAACAGGUCUCUAACCAGGAGAGGAGGUCCAGUCAUGACCAGGAAGAAGCAGAGCCACAGUGGACUGAAGAGGAACAGAUGGAACCAGAAGCUCCACUGAUUAAACAAGAAGAACAGGACCCAGAGCCUCCACUGACAGAAGAUCAUUGGAAAAUAGAACCUAGAGGGACUGGAUAGGUGGAACCAGAACAUCCACUUAUAUAUGAAGAAAAUGAGGAACCAGAUCAUUCACUGCUUAAACAUGAACAGCAGGAACCAGAACAUUUACCAACUGGACAGGACCAGAAAGGCCUCUGCAGCAGUCAGGAGGGAGAGCAACUUGUCCAGAAGCAGAUUGUUGCUUUUAGGGACACUUCUACCUAUCAGGAGGGUGAUUUGAGUAGAGAACCAACAACUGAUCAUUACUUUCACAUCUCUAAUGUAAUUGAGAGCAAAGAUCAGGAAGGAAUCAGCUUCACUGUAUCUGAGAGUGAGUCUGAUACCGACAUAAAGGAAAGGUCUUUGAAAUGUGAUAUUUGUGGGAAAGGUUUUGAAAAUCAGCAUAACUUUAAAAAACAUUGCAGAACCCAUAGGCCCUUUUCAUGUGAAACAUGCAGUAAAUGCUUUUCUAAUAUUGGUCAUUUAAAUAUGCAUAGGAGAGUUCAUACAGGUGAGAAACCCUUUUCAUGUCAAGUAUGCAAAAAAACAUUCUCUCAAGAGGGUAAUUUAAAAGUCCACAUGAGAAUUCAUACAGGUGAGAAGCCUUUUUCUUGUGAAACAUGUGGGAAAAGCUUCUCUCAAACUGGUUAUUUAAAUAUCCAUAAGAGAGUUCAUACAGGUGAGAAACCCUUUUCAUGCCAAGUAUGCAA